GCGGCGUGCUAAUACAUGCAAGUAGAACGCUGAAGAGAGGAGCUUGCUCUUCUUGGAUGAGUUGCGAACGGGUGAGUAACGCGUAGGUAACCUGCCUUGUAGCGGGGGAUAACUAUUGGAAACGAUAGCUAAUACCGCAUAACAAUGGAUGACACAUGUCAUUUAUUUGAAAGGGGCAAUUGCUCCACUACAAGAUGGACCUGCGUUGUAUUAGCUAGUAGGUGAGGUAAUGGCUCACCUAGGCGACGAUACAUAGCCGACCUGAGAGGGUGAUCGGCCACACUGGGACUGAGACACGGCCCAGACUCCUACGGGAGGCAGCAGUAGGGAAUCUUCGGCAAUGGGGGCAACCCUGACCGAGCAACGCCGCGUGAGUGAAGAAGGUUUUCGGAUCGUAAAGCUCUGUUGUAAGUCAAGAACGGGUGUGAGAGUGGAAAGUUCACACUGUGACGGUAGCUUACCAGAAAGGGACGGCUAACUACGUGCCAGCAGCCGCGGUAAUACGUAGGUCCCGAGCGUUGUCCGGAUUUAUUGGGCGUAAAGCGAGCGCAGGCGGUUUGAUAAGUCUGAAGUUAAAGGCUGUGGCUCAACCAUAGUUCGCUUUGGAAACUGUCAAACUUGAGUGCAGAAGGGGAGAGUGGAAUUCCAUGUGUAGCGGUGAAAUGCGUAGAUAUAUGGAGGAACACCGGUGGCGAAAGCGGCUCUCUGGUCUGUAACUGACGCUGAGGCUCGAAAGCGUGGGGAGCGAACAGGAUUAGAUACCCUGGUAGUCCACGCCGUAAACGAUGAGUGCUAGGUGUUGGAUCCCUUCCG
rnacentral:rRNA from 1 species